GACAAGUGUAUGACUGCCUUUGAGCUGUAGU
rnacentral:piRNA from 1 species